CCCUAUCUAAGCAUAUGUGACACAUCUACCCCUUCCAAAUUUACCCUUUGGUAACAAAUCAGGGGUGACACAUUAACGACUUACAGUGAAUUAGUAAGUUACCCUGCUGUCAAAGACGAAAAUAAGCCAGAGACCCAAUUAGCUGAGGCCAUUUAUUCAUAAGCUUGCAGCUACAAGGAGAUGGUCCGCUGUCACUUCCCUUUCAGCAGGGGUUUGAAGGAGCUGGGAAGGUUUCAUAGAAUAAAAAUUGUCCUGAAGAUCAUCUCUGCUGAGCAUUCCAUACGGCACAGAAACAGCAACAAUCACAAAAGAAAAGAAGACUUGUGUUACUGAGUACUUACUAAGUACAGACUCUACAAGCAGAGACCAUGCCACCCAAGGUCCAACACAGCAUCCUAGGAUGCUCUUCCUCAGGUCAUGGACCCGUGAAGACCAUUGCCACCUGCUUGCUGAAGCAGAGCUGGGUGCGCACAUCUGAAAGUAAGUACUCAAGGAUUUCUAACCUCUGAUGGACACUGUGUCCACUAACUACACUCACAUGUAAUGAAAUCACAGAUUAAAUGUUUUCUUCUGUGAUGACAGAAAUAAUGAGCAACUAUUUAGCUGUUUGUUUUAUCAAUGUAUCAGCAGGUCUCCUGACUGAAAUUCUUUAUUUAUUUAUUUAUUUAUUUAUUUAUUUAUUUAUUUAUUUAUUUAUUUAUUUAUGAUAGGCACACAGUGAGAGAGAGAGAGGCAGAGACACAGGCAGAGGGAGAAGCAGGCUCCAUGCACCGAGAGCCCGACGCGGGACUCGAUCCCGGGUCUCCAGGAUCGCACCCUGGGCCAAAGGCAGGCGCCAAACCGCUGCGCCACCCAGGGAUCCCCUCCUGACUGAAAUUCUUAAACUCCAUCCUUUCCCAACAUCAAUGGUAGCUUGCUGCCCACCCCCCCACACUACCUGUUUCUUCACCUAAUGAAGUUAAUUAACCAU
rnacentral:lncRNA from 12 species